rnacentral:rRNA from 1 species
AACGAACGCUGGCGGCAUGCCUAACACAUGCAAGUCGAACGAGACCUUUGGGUCUAGUGGCGAACGGGUGCGUAAAGCGUGGGAACCUGCCCUUAGGUUCGGAAUAACUCCCCGAAAGGGGUGCUAAUACCGGAUAAUGUCUUCGGACCAAAGAUUUAUCGCCUUUGGAUGGGCCCGCGUUGGAUUAGCUAGUUGGUAGGGUAAAAGCCUACCAAGGCGACGAUCCAUAGCUGGUCUGAGAGGAUGAUCAGCCACACUGGGACUGAGACACGGCCCAGACUCCUACGUGAGGCAGCAGUGGGGAAUAUUGUACACUGGGCGUAAGCCUGAUCCAGCAAUGCCGCGUGAGUGAUGAAGGCCUUAGUGUUGUAAAGCUCUUUUACCCGUGAUGAUAAUGACAGUACCGGGAGAAUAAGCUCCGGCUAACUCCGUG